rnacentral:rRNA from 1 species
CAGUCGCCGCGGGAAUACGUAGGGUGCAAGCGUUAAUCGGAAUUACUGGGCGUAAAGCGUGCGCAGGCGGUUAUAUAAGACAGAUGUGAAAUCCCCGGGCUCAACCUGGGAACUGCAUUUGUGACUGUAUAGCUAGAGUACGGCAGAGGGGGAUGGAAUUCCGCGUGUAGCAGUGAAAUGCGUAGAUAUGCGGAGGAACACCGAUGGCGAAGGCAAUCCCUGGGCCUGUACUGACGCUCAUGCACGAAAGCGUGGGGAGCAAACAGGAUUAGAUACCCGGGUAGUCCCUGUCUCUUAUACA